rnacentral:sRNA from 1 species
AGUUUUCACAUGCUUUCUGGAGUUUGCCUAAUCAGCAUUGGCUCUGUGGUGUACAGGCUGUCUUCAUCGGUGGAAUACAACAUAAUGGAGUUGGAACAAGAACUUGAAAAUGUAAAGACUCUUAAGACAAAAUUAGAGAGGCGAAAAAAGGCUUCAGCAUGGGAAAGAAAUUUGGUGUAUCCUGCUGUUAUGGUUCUCCUUCUUAUUGAGACAUCCAUCUCGGUCCUCUUGGUGGCUUGUAAUAUUCUUUGCCUGUUGGUUGAUGAAACAGCAAUGCCAAAAGGAACAAGGGGGCCUGGAAUAGGAAAUGCCUCUCUUUCUACGUUUGGUUUUGUGGGAGCUGCGCUUGAAAUCAUUUUGAUUUUCUAUCUUAUGGUGUCCUCUGUUGUCGGCUUCUAUAGCCUUCGAUUUUUUGGAAACUUUACUCCCAAGAAAGAUGACACAACUAUGACAAAGAUCAUUGGAAAUUGUGUGUCCAUUUUGGUUUUGAGCUCUGCUCUGCCUGUGAUGUCGAGAACACUGGGAAUCACUAGAUUUGAUCUACUUGGCGACUUUGGAAGGUUUAAUUGGCUGGGAAAUUUCUAUAUUGUAUUAUCCUACAAUUUGCUUUUU